rnacentral:tRNA from 1 species
UCUCUAGUGUCUCAGAUGGUAAAGAAUCUGCCUGCAAUGCAGGAGAUCCAGGUUCCAUCCCUGGGUCGAAAA